rnacentral:rRNA from 1 species
GACGAACCGUGCGAACGUUGUUCGGAAUCACUGGGCUUAAAGGGCGCGUAGGCGGGCCGCGAGGUCCGGGGUGAAAUCCCCCCGCCCAACGGGGGAAGUGCCCCGGAUACCGGCGGCCUCGAGGAAGGUAGGGGCGGGCGGAACUUCCGGUGGAGCGGUGAAAUGCGUAGAUAUCGAGAGGAACACCUGCGGCGAAGGCGGGUUGCUGGGCUGACACUGACGCUGAGGCGCGAAAGCUAGGGGAGCGAACGGG